AUUGAACGCUGGCGGCAUGCCUUACACAUGCAAGUCGAACGGCAGCACGGGUGCUUGCACCUGGUGGCGAGUGGCGAACGGGUGAGUAAUAUAUCGGAACGUACCUUAUUGUGGGGGAUAACGCAGCGAAAGCUGUGCUAAUACCGCAUAAUCCCUAAGGGGGAAAGCGGGGGACCGUAAGGCCUCGCGCAAUUAGAGCGGCCGAUACCUGAUUAGCUAGUUGGUGAGGUAAAGGCUCACCAAGGCAACGAUCAGUAGCUGGUCUGAGAGGACGAUCAGCCACACUGGGACUGAGACACGGCCCAGACUCCUACGGGAGGCAGCAGUGGGGAAUUUUGGAUAAUGGGGGCAACCCUGACCCAGCAAUGCCGCGUGAGUGAAGAAGGCCUUCGGGUUGUAAAGCUCUUUUGUCAGGGAAGAAACAGCAGCUCUAACACAGUCUGCGAAUGACGGUACCUGAAGAAUAAGCACCGGCUAACUACGUGCCAGCAGCCGCCGUAA
rnacentral:rRNA from 1 species